rnacentral:lncRNA from 1 species
UUUUGAUCCCCAGUAGGGUCGGUUGGUGGUCUGGCAUCCAGAGAUUGGUUUGAUUUCCUGAUUGCUUUUGAUCCUCAGUAGAGUGGCUUGUUGCGGAAUCUACUUGUGGGAUCUGUUUUUCCUUCAGUGGGUGUAUCCCCGAUGGAAUGGCUACUUGUGUUCUCCCCAGGUAGAGUUGCUUGUGCAGUAGAUUCUACAUGGAUGAU